rnacentral:lncRNA from 1 species
CUCUUUGAAGAUGAAAACAAUUCAACAACCUUCUUCUCCAUGCCUUUCAGAAUGAAUUUCUUCUUCUCCCGGAUUUUUCUUUCAAUUCUUGGCUGAAGUUUCAAGCUGUGAUCACUCCAGGAUUGCAGGAAUGAGUUUGCCCUUCUCUUCUGCUCUUGGAUCAUGUGAGGACACAGAGUUCCUUUCCCUGAAAAUGCACCAACGAGGCACCACCUUGGAAGUGGAGACCAGGCCCUUAACAGACACCAAACCUAUAGGAAUCUUGAUGUUGGAUCUCCCAGCCUCCAAAACUAUUUGAUUGAAUGUAUUUUGCCAAUAUUGAGGGACAGCCACCAUGAGGAGAAGUGCCAGUGCAGCUGCCAACUGAGGAGAGGCCAGGACCUCAGUACCAUGGAUACAGCAAAUGUGGACAGAGCCAGUGCCGUGGCUCAUUUAGAGCCAGAUGUGAAAGGCAGCUGGCUGUGCCUCCUUGCUUUGACUGCUGAAAACCAUAAAUAAAUACAUGUAAAAAGUUG